rnacentral:rRNA from 1 species
GGGUUGUGAGGUUAAGCGACUAAGCGUACACGGUGGAUGCCCUGGCAGUCAGAGGCGAUGAAGGACGUGCUAAUCUGCGAUAAGCGUCGGUAAGGUGAUAUGAACCGUUAUAACCGGCGAUUUCCGAAUGGGGAAACCCAGUGUGUUUCGACACACUAUCAUUAACUGAAUCCAUAGGUUAAUGAGGCGAACCGGGGGAACUGAAACAUCUAAGUACCCCGAGGAAAAGAAAUCAACCGAGAUUCCCCCAGUAGCGGCGAGCGAACGGGGAGGAGCCCAGAGCCUGAAUCAGUGUGUGUGUUAGUGGAAGCGUCUGGAAAGGCGCGCGAUACAGGGUGACAGCCCCGUACACAAAAAUGCACAUGCUGUGAGCUCGAUGAGUAGGGCGGGACACGUGGUAUCCUGUCUGAAUAUGGGGGGACCAUCCUCCAAGGCUAAAUACUCCUGACUGACCGAUAGUGAACCAGUACCGUGAGGGAAAGGCGAAAAGAACCCCGGCGAGGGGAGUGAAAAAGAACCUGAAACCGUGUACGUACAAGCAGUGGGAGCCUCUUUAUGGGGUGACUGCGUACCUUUUGUAUAAUGGGUCAGCGACUUAUAUUCUGUAGCAAGGUUAACCGAAUAGGGGAGCCGAAGGGAAACCGAGUCUUAACUGGGCGUUAAGUUGCAGGGUAUAGACCCGAAACCCGGUGAUCUAGCCAUGGGCAGGUUGAAGGUUGGGUAACACUAACUGGAGGACCGAACCGACUAAUGUUGAAAAAUUAGCGGAUGACUUGUGGCUGGGGGUGAAAGGCCAAUCAAACCGGGAGAUAGCUGGUUCUCCCCGAAAGCUAUUUAGGUAGCGCCUCGUGAAUUCAUCUCCGGGGGUAGAGCACUGUUUCGGCAAGGGGGUCAUCCCGACUUACCAACCCGAUGCAAACUGCGAAUACCGGAGAAUGUUAUCACGGGAGACACACGGCGGGUGCUAACGUCCGUCGUGAAGAGGGAAACAACCCAGACCGCCAGCUAAGGUCCCAAAGUCAUGGUUAAGUGGGAAACGAUGUGGGAAGGCCCAGACAGCCAGGAUGUUGGCUUAGAAGCAGCCAUCAUUUAAAGAAAGCGUAAUAGCUCACUGGUCGAGUCGGCCUGCGCGGAAGAUGUAACGGGGCUAAACCAUGCACCGAAGCUGCGGCAGCGACACUAUGUGUUGUUGGGUAGGGGAGCGUUCUGUAAGCCUGCGAAGGUGUACUGUGAGGUAUGCUGGAGGUAUCAGAAGUGCGAAUGCUGACAUAAGUAACGAUAAAGCGGGUGAAAAGCCCGCUCGCCGGAAGACCAAGGGUUCCUGUCCAACGUUAAUCGGGGCAGGGUGAGUCGACCCCUAAGGCGAGGCCGAAAGGCGUAGUCGAUGGGAAACAGGUUAAUAUUCCUGUACUUGGUGUUACUGCGAAGGGGGGACGGAGAAGGCUAUGUUGGCCGGGCGACGGUUGUCCCGGUUUAAGCGUGUAGGCUGGUUUUCCAGGCAAAUCCGGAAAAUCAAGGCUGAGGCGUGAUGACGAGGCACUACGGUGCUGAAGCAACAAAUGCCCUGCUUCCAGGAAAAGCCUCUAAGCAUCAGGUAACAUCAAAUCGUACCCCAAACCGACACAGGUGGUCAGGUAGAGAAUACCAAGGCGCUUGAGAGAACUCGGGUGAAGGAACUAGGCAAAAUGGUGCCGUAACUUCGGGAGAAGGCACGCUGAUAUGUAGGUGAAGUCCCUCGCGGAUGGAGCUGAAAUCAGUCGAAGAUACCAGCUGGCUGCAACUGUUUAUUAAAAACACAGCACUGUGCAAACACGAAAGUGGACGUAUACGGUGUGACGCCUGCCCGGUGCCGGAAGGUUAAUUGAUGGGGUUAGCGCAAGCGAAGCUCUUGAUCGAAGCCCCGGUAAACGGCGGCCGUAACUAUAACGGUCCUAAGGUAGCGAAAUUCCUUGUCGGGUAAGUUCCGACCUGCACGAAUGGCGUAAUGAUGGCCAGGCUGUCUCCACCCGAGACUCAGUGAAAUUGAACUCGCUGUGAAGAUGCAGUGUACCCGCGGCAAGACGGAAAGACCCCGUGAACCUUUACUAUAGCUUGACACUGAACAUUGAGCCUUGAUGUGUAGGAUAGGUGGGAGGCUUUGAAGUGUGGACGCCAGUCUGCAUGGAGCCGACCUUGAAAUACCACCCUUUAAUGUUUGAUGUUCUAACGUUGGCCCGUAAUCCGGGUUGCGGACAGUGUCUGGUGGGUAGUUUGACUGGGGCGGUCUCCUCCUAAAGAGUAACGGAGGAGCACGAAGGUUGGCUAAUCCUGGUCGGACAUCAGGAGGUUAGUGCAAUGGCAUAAGCCAGCUUGACUGCGAGCGUGACGGCGCGAGCAGGUGCGAAAGCAGGUCAUAGUGAUCCGGUGGUUCUGAAUGGAAGGGCCAUCGCUCAACGGAUAAAAGGUACUCCGGGGAUAACAGGCUGAUACCGCCCAAGAGUUCAUAUCGACGGCGGUGUUUGGCACCUCGAUGUCGGCUCAUCACAUCCUGGGGCUGAAGUAGGUCCCAAGGGUAUGGCUGUUCGCCAUUUAAAGUGGUACGCGAGCUGGGUUUAGAACGUCGUGAGACAGUUCGGUCCCUAUCUGCCGUGGGCGCUGGAGAACUGAGGGGGGCUGCUCCUAGUACGAGAGGACCGGAGUGGACGCAUCACUGGUGUUCGGGUUGUCAUGCCAAUGGCACUGCCCGGUAGCUAAAUGCGGAAGAGAUAAGUGCUGAAAGCAUCUAAGCACGAAACUUGCCCCGAGAUGAGUUCUCCCUGACUCCUUGAGAGUCCUGAAGGAACGUUGAAGACGACGACGUUGAUAGGCCGGGUGUGUAAGCGCAGCGAUGCGUUGAGCUAACCGGUACUAAUGAACCGUGAGGCUUAACCUUACAACGCCGAAGCUGUU